GUAGCAAUACACGAGUGGCGCACGGGUGAGUAACGCGUGGAUAUCUGCCUUUUGGUUCGGAAUAACACGAGGAAACUUGUGCUAAUACCGGAUAAGCCCUUACGGAGAAAGUUUUAAUGCCAAAAGAUGAGCCCGCAUUUGAUUAGCUAGUUGGUGAGGUAAAAGCUCACCAAGGCGAUAAUCAAUAGCUGAUUUGAGAGGAUGAUCAGCCACACUGGGACUGAGAUACGGCCCAGACUCC
rnacentral:rRNA from 1 species